GUUGGCUUGGAAGCAGCCAUUCAUUCAAAGAGUGCGUAACAGCUCACUAGUCGAGAGACCGUGCAUGGAUAAUAAUCGGGUAUUAAAUCAUUCACCGAAGCUAUGGAAACCGUAAGGUUUGGUAGGGGAGCAUUCCAAGUGCGUUGAAGGUAUGAGACGACUCAUGCUGGAGCGCUUGGAAAAGCAAAUGUAGGUAUAAGUAACGAUAAAGGGGGUGCGAUGCCCCCUCGCCGCAAGACUAAGGAUUCCCGGGCAACGUUAAUCGGCCCGGGGUAAGUCGGGACCUAAGGAUAAGCCGAAAGGCGAGGCCGAUGGAAGAGACGGUAAAAAUUCCGUCACUACCUUAUGGGGCGAUGUGGAGACGGAGAAGUGACACUGCCGCGUUCUGACGGAAAUGGACGUUAAAGAGUGUAGGCGAUGAGGAAGGCAGGCAAAUCCACCUUCCGAGCUGAACUUGAAAGUAUGCAAAGCCUUCGGGCGGCGCAAUAGCGCAGGUAAACAGACUCCCGAGAAAAUCCGCUAAGCUUAACCCAUAAGGUACCCGUACCGUAAACGGACACACGUAGUCGGGUAGAAUAUACUGAGGCGCUUGGAAGAUUCAUGGUUAAGGAACUAGGCAAAUUGACCCUGUAACUUCGGGAAAAAGGGUCCCUGCAGCAAUGUAGGGCGCAGAGAAUAGGUCCAGGCAACUGUUUAACAAAAACACAGGGCUGUGCAAAAUCGAAAGAUGAAGUAUACAGUCUGACACCUGCCCGGUGCCGGAAGGUCAAGAGGAGAGCUCAUCGCAAGAGAAGGCUUGAAUUGAAGCCCCGGUAAACGGCGGCCGUAACUAUAACGGUCCUAAGGUAGCGAAAUUCCUUGUCGGGUAAGUUCCGACCUGCACGAAUGGUGUAAUGAUCCGGACGCUGUCUCAACCAUGAUCUCAGUGAAAUUGUAGUAUCGGUGAAGAUGCCGAUUACCCGCGAUGGGACGAAAAGACCCCGUGAACCUUUACUAUAGCUUAACGUUGUAACUGGGCAAGGGAUGUGUAGGAUAGGCCGGAGGCUAAGAAAUAUGCACGCCAGUGUGUAUGGAGCCGCUGUUGAAAUACGGCCCUUCCACUGUCUGGUUCCUAACUCGCAGAUUGCGAGGACACCGUUUGGUGGGUAGUUUGACUGGGGUGGUCGCCUCCAAAAGCGUAACGGAGGCUUCUAAAGGUGCCCUCAGGCCGAUUGGUAACCGGCCGUAGAGUGUAAUGGCAAAAGGGCGCUUGACUGGGAGGCCGACAAGCCGAUCAGGAAGGAAACUUGAGCAUAGUGAUCCGGCGGAUCCGUAUGGAAGGUCCGUCGCUCAAAGGAUAAAAGGUACUCCGGGGAUAACAGGCUGAUCCCUCCCAAGAGCUCAUAUCGACGGGGUGGUUUGGCACCUCGAUGUCGGCUCGUCACAU
rnacentral:rRNA from 1 species